rnacentral:rRNA from 1 species
CGCGCAGGCGGCUCUGAAAGUCAGAUGUGAAAGCCCCGGGCUUAACCUGGGAACUGCAUUUGAUACUCUGGAGCUUGAGUGUGGGAGAGGAGAGUGGAAUUCCCAGUGUAGAGGUGAAAUUCGUAGAUAUUGGGAAGAACACCGGUGGCGAAGGCGGCUCUCUGGACCACAACUGACGCUGAGGCGCGAAAGCGUGGGGAGCAAACAGGAUUAGAUACCCUGGUAGUCCACGCCGUAAACGAUGUGCGCUAGACGUUGGGAAGCUUAGCUUCUCGGUGUCGCAGCUAACGCGAUAAGCGCACCGCCUGGGGAGUACGGCCGCAAGGUUAAAA